rnacentral:rRNA from 1 species
GAUGAACGCUGGCUGCAUGCCUAAUACAUGCAAGUCGAGCGACCAGACGAGUAGCUUUCUCUUCUGACGUUAGCGGCGGACGGGUGAGUAACUCAUAGAUAACCUACCUAUAGGACUGGCGUGACUUCCGUAUACCGGAGCUGAUACCGGAUAAUAUAUUUAACCUCUUGGUUCGGUAUCACUAUACGGGUUUGUUGUUUCUCGUAGAUGGAGCGGUGCCGCAUUUGCUUGUUGGGAAGGUAACGCCUCACCAAGACAACGAUUCGUAGCUGACCUGGGAGGGUGAGCGGCCACACUGGAACGGAGACACGGUCCAGACCACAACGGGAGGCAGCAGAGGGGAAUGUUCCGCAAUGGGCGAAAGCCUGACCGAGCAAAGCCGAGUGAGUGAAGAAGGGCUUCGGAUCGUAAAACUCUGUUAUUAGGGAAGAAGAAUUGUGUAAGGAACUAUGCACGUCUUGACGGUACCUAAUCAGAAAGCCACGGCUAACUACGUG